GUCGAACGCUGGCGGCGUGCCUAAUACAUGCAAGUCGAACGCAGUGGGGACGGGUGAGUAACCCGUUGGUAACCUCCCAUCACAGGGGAUAACACUUGGAAACAGGUGCUAAACCGAUACUGAUGGAUGGUCCGGCGGUGCAUUAGCUAGUUGGUGAGGAAACGGCUCACCAAGGCCACGAUGCAUAGCGGACCUGAGAGGGUGAUCGGUCACAAGGGAACUGAGACACGGCCCAGACUCCUACGGGAGGCAGCAGUAGGGAAUAGUCGGCAAUGGACGAAAGUCUGACGGAGCAACGCCGCGUGAGUGAAGAAGGUUUUCGGAUCGUAAAACGCUGUUGUUAGAGAAGCGGUAUCUAACCAGAAAGCCACGGCUAACUACGUGCCAGCAGCCGCGGUAAUUC
rnacentral:rRNA from 1 species